GCCUCAGUAGCUCAGAUUAUUUAAUCUUUUAAAUAAGAGUAAUGGCCAGAGCAGCUGACUUGUAAUCAGCAGGUCGGGGGUUCAAAUCCCUCCUGGGGCU
rnacentral:tRNA from 1 species